rnacentral:rRNA from 2 species
UACGAAGGGGGCUAGCGUUGUUCGGAAUCACUGGGCGUAAAGCGCACGCAGGCGGAUUGAUAAGUCAGGGGUGAAAUCCCGAGGCUCAACCUCGGAAUUGCCUUUGAUACUGUCUAUCUUCGAGUUCGGGAGAGGUUGGCGGAAUUCCUAGUGUAGAGGUGAAAUUCGUAGAUAUUAGGAAGAACACCAGUGGCGAAGGCGGCCAACUGGCCCGAUACUGACGCUCAUGUGCGAAAGCGUGGGGAGCAAACAGG